UGCGCGGCGGCAGAGGCCGGUACUGGGGGCGAGAGAGAGAGGGAGAGAGGGAACGAGAGAGGGAACGGGGCUGCGCGGAGGCGAGGGGCUGGGGGCGGCGCUGGGGCUGGGGCUCGCGGCGGACGGCGGAGGCUCACUGCCGGCUGGCCGGGCUCGCGGUGGGGACUAGGGUGGGGAAGAGAGACGGGAAAGAGAGAGCAACAGUGGGAGAGGGAGUUUGAGGGAGAGAAAUGAGGUGGUGGCGGCGGCAGUGGGAGAGAGUUAGGGAGUGGGUGGGGAUUAGGGUUAGCCUAGGGGUUUUUAUAGCCUAAGGAUUUGGUUGGGCCUUAGAUGGGUUGGCCGGCCGUAGAAAAGGCAUCAGUGGCGGGCAUGAAUUUAUAGCCCGUCACUGAUGAGGCCAUGCAAGAUAUUUUUUUCUAUUUUUCUGUUUCAUAUAAUAUAUAAAUAUUUUGUAUAACUCAAUUGGUCUACAAGUUUAUAAUAAUGUUCAAGGUUUGUGUGAAAAUUGGAUAAAGGCCAUUUGGAGCCAUAUUAAGUGUACUUGCUUCACAAAAUACCUCA
rnacentral:lncRNA from 1 species